rnacentral:rRNA from 1 species
UACAGAGGUCCCAAGCGUUGUUCGGAUUUACUGGGCGUAAAGGGUGCGUAGGUGGCGGGGUAAGUCUGGUGUGAAAGCUCCGAGCUCAACUCGGAAAAGCAUUGGAAACUAUCCCGCUGGAGGGUCGGAGGGGAGACUGGAAUUCUCGGUGUAGCAGUGAAAUGCGUAGAUAUCUGGAGGAACACCGGUGGCGAAGGCGGCAUCCUGGACCAUAACUGACACUGAUAAGCGAAAGCCAGGGGAGCAAACGGG